CAUGAUAGUUUAUCUUUGGCCCAAGGAAGAAGAAUGCCUGUGGUGGAUUGCUGGAGCUACAUACAAUUUUAUAUUGCCGAGAAAUUGUAAAUCCUUAAAAAAGGGAUGUAAUAUUUAGGUCUGUUCAUCUAGGCUUCAUCAGUGGACACAAAUGAAAGUUGAAGAGAGAAUCUGUACCAUGCAGUAGAAAGGAGAGCAAAUGAAAAGUUACAAGGUGGCUUGUGCAGCACAAUCUCUCAGCAUGGCAGUGAAUACACAAUGUCCCGGGAGGAAUGGGAUUGAAGAUGACAAUGGAAUGUUUUGUGGAGUGAUGGGCACUUUAUGCUCUUUGAACAAUCAUAGUUAUCGCGUUUGGGGAUCGUCGCUGCCAACGAACAUUCAUGAAGUUUACCUCCAUAGUGCAUGUGUCACUGUGUGCAGUGGCUUCACACAACAGUUCUUUGAAGAACUUGGACCCCAAGGACCAAGCAGCAUGAACUGCACACAUUACUGUGAUAUGCUUCGCCAGCAUGUAAUCCCUGCUCUAUGGAAGAGAGGAUGUGGACUAGACUGGUUGGAUACAUGAUGUUCCACCUCGCAUUGCUUGGAAGGUCGCUCGGUCAAUCCGUGUUUGGAAAAAAUUAAAUCAUUGCAUAAUCAUUCCAAACUUCAUGGCUGUCAAGAUCACCAGAUUUGAACCUGUGUGAUUUCUGGCUGCAGGGUUACCUGAAGGACAGCGUUUAUCAAUGGAAUACUUGAGUAUCAGAUCUUCCACCUGGGAUGCACUGUACAAUCAAUCAAGGUAAACCCAGUUGACGAAUGGCCAUGAUAACUGUAUUCAAACAUGUGAAGCAUCUUGGUGAUUCGAGGGCAAAAUCAGAGGAAGAAUGGCUAUGACAUUUACAUAGUUAAACAAGGCAAAACCAAUGGAUGAAUGGCCAUGAUUAUUGUAAUUUGAAACAUGUUGUCCAUCUUACUAAUUGGAGGCAAAAUGAGUUGCGGUAAUGAGUA